rnacentral:rRNA from 1 species
GGAUAAACGCUGGCGGCGUGCAUGAGACAUGCAAGUCGAACGAACGAGCUUGCUCGUUAGUGGCGAACGGCUGAGUAACGCGUAGGUGACCUGCCCCGAAGUGGGGGAUAACUGCCCGAAAGGGUGGCUAAUACCGCAUGUGGCGACGCUUUCAUUGGCGUCAUCAAAGCCGCGAGGCGCUUCGGGAGGGGCCUGCAUCCGAUUAGCUCGUUGGUGGGGUAAUGGCUCACCAAGGCGACGAUCGGUAGGUGGUCUGAGAGGACGAUCACCCAGACUGGGACUGAGACACGGCCCAGACUCCUACGGGAGGCAGCAGUCGGGAAUUUUGCUCAAUGGGGGAAACCCUGAAGCAGCAACGCCGCGUGCGGGAUGAAGGCCUUCGGGUUGUAAACCGCUUUUACCAGGGACGAUAAUGACGGUACCUGAUGAUAAGUCAC